rnacentral:rRNA from 1 species
CCUACGGGUGGCAGCAGUAGGGGAUAUUGCUCAAUGGGGGAAACCCUGAUGCAGCAACGCCGCGUGGAUGAUGAAGGUUUUCGGAUCGUAAACUCCUUUCGUCAGAGAAGAAAAUGACGGUAUCUAACGAAUAAGCACCGGCUAACUCCGUGCCAGCAGCCGCGGUAAUACGGAGGGUGCAAGCGUUACGCGGAAUUACUGGGCGUAAAGAGGGCGGAGGCGGGAUAGCAAGUCAGAUGUGAAAUCCUAUGGCUUAACCAUAGAACUGCAUUUGAAACUGCUAUGCUAGAGUAUGGGAGAGGUAGGUGGAAUUCUUGGUGUAGGGGUAAAAUCCGUAGAGAUCAAGAGGAAUACUCAUGGCGAAGGCGACCUGCUAGAACAUAACUGACGCUGAGGCGCGAAGGCGUGGGGAGCAAACAGGAUUAGAUACCCUUGUAGUC